ACUGAACUGAACUGAACCCUAAACCCUAAAAACUAAACCCUAAACUCUAAAACCUAAACCCUAAACCCUAAACUCAAUCUAAACCCUAAACCCAACCUAAACCUAAACCCUAGUUGUGAAUUGUUACGAUUGUGAAUUCACAACUGAACUGAACUGAAACACUAAACCUUAAACCUAAACCCUAGUUGUGAAUUCACAACUGAACUGAACUGAAACUGAAACUGAACUGAACCCUAAACCCUAAAAACUAAACCCUAAACCCUAAACCCUAAACCCUAAACCCAAUCUAAACCCUAAACCCUAAACAGUCGAAUUCACAACAAGAAUUUUUUGGUUGUGUAUUUACAACCAAAAUUUAAUACAUAGCAAGAAUUUUUUGGUUGGGAACUCACAACCAGUAAAAUUCACAAUCAGAAUUUAAUUCACAACUAUAAUUUAUUUUGGUUGUGAAUUCAAGUAGUUGUGAAUUUGAGUUUUUAAAGUUUGAAUUCACAAUUAAAACUGUAAUUUAUUUUGAUUGUGAAUUUAUAGAUUUGGUUGUAAAUUCAAGAAUAUUAAGUUGUGAAUUCAUCGAACAUUAAGUUGUGAAUUCAACAACAUAGUUGUGAAUUUAAGAACAUUAAUAAAAUAAUUAUACGGCUAAAUCAAAUUGAUGUACAACACCAAAAUACAACAACUCAAUCUACCAUCAAAAUACAUNUUGAAUUCACAAUUAAAACUGUAAUUUACAACUGAAACAUUAAAUUCUGAACUGAACUGAAACCCUAAACCCUAAACCCUAAACCUAAACCUAAACCCUAGUUGUGAAUUCACAACUGAACUGAAACUGAAACUGAACUGAACUGAACCUGAACCUAAAACUAAACCCUAAACUCUAAAACCUAAACCCUAAACCCUAAACCCAAUCUAAACCCUAAACCUAAACCCUAGUUGUGAAUUGUUACGAUUGUGAAUUCACAACU
rnacentral:lncRNA from 1 species